ensembl:lncRNA
CCCAAUCACCUUAAUCCCUUUUAAGACGUUGUUUUAUUUCACUGUUCACAACUGUCACACACUGUGCACACGUCUCCAUCCUUGUGUGUUUACGUGCAUGUGUUUCUCAGCAGGUCUGCCGCUCUAAGCCCCCGUAAAGCUGGGAAUGAACAAGCAGAAGAUUGCAGUAAUGAUGUGACCCAGAUGUCCUGGGUGCAGAUCCCCUGGCUGAAAAUGAGAGUGGAGAUCGGGACCUUGAACCUCCCCUCCCUCGCUCCCUCCCUCCCUCUUGCCUGGGACACAAUCACAGAACAUUUGCAUGUGUGUGUAUUAUUUGGGGAGGGGCAUGUGUAUGUUGCGUGUGUUUAAGCUCAUGCAGAUCCAUGUAAACAUGAGGGAUCAGACUUAGGAGUGUGUGCCACUUGUUCUCAGCACUUCGGAUUAGAUGUAACAGUUUUUUUUGUUUUUUUUUAAUUUACUCUCUUUAGCCGCCUCCAUAAGAUACUAAAGCCUGGCUUCAAAACCUUCCUUCCCUCUCUGCCUCCCUCACUCCCUUCCUCCCCUUGACUCACUCAUUCCCUGAGGUCAGCAGGUGGCUGAAAAAUCACAUAACCCGCACCAUCCUGAAAGUAGGCUCAGUGGGCCACUUUACUCAAUGAGAGGCUUGGCAGUUGGAGUAGUGCAUGCAUGUGUGUGCGUGUGUGUGUGCGCGUGUGUCUGUGUGUGUGUGGCAGGGAUUGAGAGGAAAGGGGACAAAAGACAGAGUUUAAUAUUUGGGAUAAGCUGUGAUUGAAUAUCCUGAGAUCAGAGCAGAAUGAUCAAAUUCUGCUAGUGAUAAUCCUUCAUCUUGGAAAAUUAAAUACCACUCUGCAGUCUCUCCUCUUGACUCACACUCUCUCUCACACACACACACUUGCAGUAUUUAAACGAGGUCUGACAUGUGUCUCAUAACCGUGCUCGGUUCCUCGGGGAGCUGUUCUGAUAUCUGAUGAGUUUUUCAUUAAUAAGACACAAGUCUGAUCCUGAGGGAGAGACACAAAAUGACAACAGAUAAGCCCUGCUUUCCCCAGCUCUCCACCGCACACACACAUAACACAG